rnacentral:rRNA from 1 species
AUACGGAGGGGGCUAGCGUUGUUCGGAAUUACUGGGCGUAAAGCGCGCGUAGGCGGGUUUGCAAGUUGGGGGUGAAAUCCCGGGGCUUAACCCCGGAACUGCCCUCAAAACUGCAGAUCUAGAAUCCUGGAGAGGUGAGUGGAAUUCCUAGUGUAGAGGUGAAAUUCGUAGAUAUUAGGAAGAACACCAGUGGCGAAGGCGGCUCACUGGACAGGUAUUGACGCUAAGGUGCGAAAGCGUGGGGAGCAAACAGGAUUAGAUACCCCGGUAGUCC